AUUGAACGCUGGCGGCCGGCCUAACACAUGCAAGUCGGGCGCGCGGCGGACGGGUGAGUAAUGUAUGGGGAUCUGCCUGAUGGAGGGGGAUAACUACUGGAAACGGUAGCUAAUACCGCAUACCAUCAGAUGCACCCAUAUGGGAUUAGCUUGUAGGUGAGGUAACGGCUCACCUAGGCGACGAUCCCUCGCUGGUCUGAGAGGAUGAUACGCAACACUGGUACUGAGACACGGCCCAGACGCCGACGGGAGGCAGCAUUGGGGAAUAUUGCACAAUGGGCGCAAGCCUGAUGCAGCCAUGCCGCGUGUAUGAAGAAGGCCUUCGGGUUGUAAAGUACUUUCAGUCGGGAGGCGUUACCGACAGAAGAAGCACCGGCUAACUCCGUGGCAGCCGCCGCGGUAAUAC
rnacentral:rRNA from 1 species